rnacentral:rRNA from 1 species
GAUGAACGCUGGCGGCGUGCCUAAUACAUGCAAGUCGAGCGAACAGAUAAGGAGCUUGCUCCUUUGACGUUAGCGGCGGACGGGUGAGUAACACGUGGGUAACCUACCUAUAAGACUGGAAUAACUCCGGGAAACCGGGGCUAAUGCCGGAUAACAUGUUGAACCGCAUGGUUCUACAGUGAAAGGCGGCUUUGCUGUCACUUAUAGAUGGACCCGCGCCGUAUUAGCUAGUUGGUGAGGUAACGGCCUACCAAGGCAACGAUACGUAGCCGACCUGAGCGGGUGGACGGCCACACUGGAACUGAGACACGGUCCAGACUCCUACGGGAGGCAGCAGUAGGGAAUCUUCCGCAAUGGGCGAAAGCCUGACGGAGCAACGCCGCGUGAGUGAUGAAGGUCUUCGGAUCGUAAAACUCUGUUAUUAGGGAAGAACAAAUGCGUAAGUAACUGUGCGCGUCUUGACGGUACCUAAUCAGAAAGCCACGGCUAACUACGUG